CGCGGCGGACAUGGCGGUGGAGCCCUAAGCUCGUCGUGUCCCGGCCUCCAGCGGCGGCGGCGGUGACGGCGGCGGCGGCGGCGGCAGCGGGAGGCGGAGGAGGAGCGGGAGCCACUGAGAUGAGGAGGCGCCGCGCGCGCCUGUAGCUCGCGGGCCUCACAGUUUGCUUGCCUAAACUGGAUUUGAAGCAAUUCAGACUACUGGAAAUCUGCCAUUUUACAGUAUCACAAUUGGAAAGAAGCAGGUUUUCAAAUAAUGGAAGAGUCUAAGACCUCUAAAAAUGAAAAUCAUGAACCAAAGAAGAAUGCUUGGGCUCUUUCUGAAGAAAACAAAGCAGUUAAGGUUAUAACUAAUCAAACUUUGAAAGUUAGAAAUGAUAAAUCCAUAAAAGAAAUUGGGACCAGCUCUCCAAAUAGGAAUAAUAGUAAAAAAAAUAAGCAAAAUGAUAUUUGUAUAGAAAAAACAGAAGUUAAAUCAUGUAAAGUAAAUGCUGCCAACGUUCCGGGCCCUAAAGAUUUGGGAUUAGUCCUUCGAGAUCAAAGUCAUUGCAAAGCAAAAAAAUCACCUAAUUCACCGGUUAAAGCAGAAAAGUUACCUGUUUCACAGGCAAAAGUAGAAAAGGCACCCAGUUUACAGGCAAAAGCAGAAAAAUCACCAAAGUCACCUAAUUCACCAGUGAAAACAGAAAAGGCACCCAGCUCACAGGCAACAGCAGCAGAAAAGGCGCUUAGUUCACAGAGGAAAGCAGAAAAAGGACCCAUUUCUCAGAUGAAAUCAGAAAAGGCGCCCAGUUCACCAGCAGAAGCAGAGAAAGUGCCCAGUUUACUUUUGAAAGAAAACAUGAGACAGACAGAAUUACAGCAGAUUGGGAAAAAAAUUCCAAGCUCCUUUACUUCUUUGGACAAAGUGAAUAGUGAUGUUGUAGAGGGAAAAAAAUCUGCUCUGGAAAACUCGCCACGAUCUCAGAAGCAGCAAACACGUACAGAUAAUACUGUUGAUUCUGAUGAUAGUGCUUCAGGAAUUGAAGACAUAUCGGAUGAUUUGAGUAAAAUGAAGAAUGAUGAAUCUAAUAAAGAAAAUUCUUCAGAGAUGGAUUACUUAGAAAAUGCCACUGUGAUAGAUGAAUCUACAUUGACACCUGAGCAGAGGCUAGGCUUGAAACAAGCAGAAGAACGCUUAGAAAGAGAUCACAUCUUUCGACUUGAAAAACGCUCACCAGAAUAUACCAAUUGCCGCUAUCUAUGCAAACUUUGCUUAAUUCACAUUGAAAACAUUCAGGGAGCUCAUAAACAUAUAAAGGAGAAACGACAUAAGAAAAAUAUUUUGGAAAAACAGGAAGAAAGUGAACUUCGUUCUCUGCCACCUCCUUCCCCUGCCCACUUGGCUGCUUUAAGUAUGGCAGUUAUUGAAUUAGUAAAAGAACAAGGAAUAACAGAUGAUGACCUCAGAAUCCGCCAGGAGAUUGUGGAGGAAAUGUCAAAGGUUGUAACAACAUGUUUACCAGAGUGUUCACUUAGGUUAUAUGGCACGUCUCUAACUAAGUUUGCUCUGAAAAGUAGUGACGUUAAUAUAGAUAUAAAAUUUCCUCCCAAGAUGAAUCAUCCAGAUCUUCUGAUACAAGUGCUUGGGAUUUUAAAGAAAAGUGUAUUAUAUGUAGAUGUGGAAUCUGAUUUUCACGCUAAAGUUCCUGUUGUGGUGUGCAGAGAUCGGAAAAGUGGUUUACUGUGUAGAGUGAGUGCAGGAAAUGAUAUGGCAUGCCUCACUACUGAUUUACUUGCUGCUCUUGGCAAAAUGGAACCUGUCUUUACUCCCUUGGUGUUAGCCUUUCGCUAUUGGGCUAAGUUGUGCUAUAUUGAUUCCCAAACUGAUGGUGGAAUCCCUUCUUACUGUUUUGCUUUAAUGGUGAUGUUUUUUCUACAACAAAGAAAACCCCCUCUUCUUCCUUCCUUACUUGGAGAUUGGAUUGAAGGCUUUGACCCAAAAAGGAUGGAUGACUUUCAGCUGAAGGGCAUAGUAGAAGAGAAGUUUGUGAAGUGGGAAUAUAAUUCAAGUAGUGCAACUGAGAAAACCUCAAUUGCUGAGGAAAACAAAGCUAAGGCAGACCAACCAAAAGAUGAUACCAAGAAGACAGAAAGAGACAACCAAAGUAAUGCCAUGAAGGAAAAACAUGGCAAAUCUCCUUUAACAUUGGAAGCAACAAAUCAGGUGUCCUUGGGACAGUUAUGGUUAGAGCUGCUAAAAUUUUACACACUGGAUUUUGCUUUGGAGGAAUAUGUUAUAUGUGUACGGAUACAAGAUAUUUUAACAAGAGAAAAUAAAAACUGGCCUAAAAGGCGAAUAGCCAUUGAAGAUCCAUUUUCAGUCAAGAGGAAUGUUGCACGGAGCUUAAACAGCCAGCUUGUUUAUGAAUAUGUUGUGGAGAGAUUCAGGGCAGCUUACCGGUAUUUUGCCUGUCCUCAGAGGAAGGGUGGAAAUAAAUCUACAGUGGAUUCCGUGAAAAAAGAGAAGGGGAAAAUAAGCAAUAAGAAACCAGUGAAGUCUGACAAUAUGGCAUCCAAUUGUUGCAUUCUGCUUGGGGAAAGCACAGAAAAAAUAAAUGCAGAAAGAGAUCCACCUGAUAAAUAUGAUGAAACAGAAUGUACAUCACAGAGAUGUAUUACUGAAGAUGUCAGUUUGUCGGUAAACGAACUAGAUUUAGCUGAACAUGGACAGGAAUCUUCAUCUCUUUCUACCAGUGAAGGCAGUGAAUUAGAGCCAAAAUCAAUUAAGAAACGAGAUGAUUUAGCGUCUUCAGAAACAUGUUUAAAAAAGGAGUUCAGCCAGUGUAAUUGCAAUGAUUAUAAAUCCCCUGACCCAGAUAAAUCUGCUGGUACAGACUGCAGGUCAAAUUUAGAAACAGAGAGUUCACAUCAGAUUGUGAGCACCGACAUAUCUGCUACCUCUUGCAACUGCAAACCUACAGAAGAUGCUUCUGACCUUAAUGACGAUGGUAACCACCCCACCCAGGAAUUACAUUAUGUGUUUGAUAAGUUUAUUUUAACCUCUGGCAAGCCGCCAACGAUAGUAUGCAGCAUCUGCAAAAAGGAUGGCCAUUCAAAAAAUGAUUGCCCAGAGGAUUUCAGGAAAAUUGAUCUAAAACCUCUACCACCAAUGACAAACCGAUUUCGGGAAAUACUUGAUUUAGUAUGUAAAAGAUGUUUUGAUGAGUUAUCACCACCUUUCUCUGAACAACACAACAGGGAGCAAAUUUUAAUUGGCUUGGAAAAGUUUAUUCAAAAAGAAUAUGAUGAAAAGGCAAGAUUGUGCUUAUUUGGUUCUUCUAAGAAUGGAUUUGGAUUUCGUGAUAGUGAUCUGGAUAUUUGUAUGACCCUGGAAGGCCAUGAAAAUGCAGAGAAAUUAAAUUGUAAGGAAAUAAUUGAAAGUUUGGCGAAAAUUCUUAAGAGACAUCCAGGUUUAAGAAAUAUUUUGCCUAUAACUACUGCCAAAGUGCCUAUAGUAAAAUUUGAACACAGACGGAGUGGUUUAGAAGGCGAUAUCAGUUUAUAUAAUACAUUGGCUCAACAUAACACAAGAAUGCUAGCUACUUAUGCAGCUAUUGAUCCUAGAGUGCAGUAUUUGGGAUAUACUAUGAAAGUGUUUGCUAAGCGAUGUGACAUUGGAGAUGCUUCCAGGGGAAGUUUGUCUUCAUAUGCUUAUAUCCUUAUGGUGCUGUACUUUCUGCAGCAGCGAAAACCACCAGUUAUCCCAGUUCUACAAGAGAUCUUUGAUGGAAAACAGAUUCCACAGAGAAUGGUUGAUGGAUGGAAUGCUUUUUUCUUUGAUAAAACAGAAGAACUGAAAAAACGUUUACCUUCACUUGGAAAGAAUACAGAAACCUUAGGAGAGCUUUGGUUGGGACUGCUUCGCUUCUAUACUGAAGAGUUUGAUUUCAAGGAAUAUGUAAUUAGCAUUCGGCAGAAAAAGCUGUUGACAACUUUUGAGAAGCAGUGGACAUCCAAAUGCAUUGCUAUUGAAGACCCUUUUGACUUGAAUCAUAACCUUGGUGCUGGAGUUUCUAGAAAAAUGACCAAUUUCAUCAUGAAGGCAUUUAUCAACGGAAGGAAACUUUUUGGUACCCCCUUUUAUCCACUCAUUGGCAGAGAAGCUGAGUACUUCUUCGAUUCCAGAGUACUAACAGAUGGAGAACUGGCUCCCAAUGAUCGAUGUUGCCGUGUGUGUGGAAAAAUAGGCCACUACAUGAAAGACUGCCCUAAGAGGAGAAGCAGUUUAUUAUUUAGACUAAAGAAGAAAGACAGUGAAGAAGAGAAGGAGGGGAAUGAAGAGGAGAAAGACUCCCGAGACCUUCUUGACCCCCGAGACCUCCACGACACUCGCGACUUUAGAGACCCCAGAGACCUCAGAUGUUUCAUAUGUGGAGAUGCGGGACAUGUACGAAGGGAAUGCCCAGAAGUCAAGCUGGCCCGUCAGAGGAAUAGCAGUGUGGCAGCAGCCCAGCUGGUCCGCAACCUUGUAAAUGCCCAACAGGUGGCUGGUUCAGCCCAGCAGCAGGGUGAUCAGUCUGUAAGGACUAGACAGUCCUCAGAAUGUUCUGAUUCACCAUCUUAUUCUCCUCAGCCCCAGCCAUUUCCACAGAGCUCUUCUCAGUCAGCUUCCAUUACCCAGCCUCCAUCCCAGCCAGGAUCCCAACCUAAGCUUGGCCCCCCUCAGCAGGGAGCCCAGACUCCCCAUCAAGUUCAGAUGCCUAUGUAUAACUUUCCCCAGUCUCCACCAGCUCAGUAUUCUCCCAUGCACAAUAUGGGAUUGUUGCCAAUGCAUCCCCUCCAGAUCCCUGCCCCAUCCUGGCCUAUCCAUGGCCCAGUGAUCCACUCUGCACCAGGCAGUGCCCCCAGCAAUAUUGGUCUGAAUGAUCCCAGCAUCAUCUUUGCACAACCUGCUGCCAGACCUGUGGCGAUCCCUAGCUCGUCUCAUGAUGGACACUGGCCUCGUACUGUGACUCCAAAUUCCCUGGUGAACAAUGGUACAGUGGGGAAUUCGGAGCCAGGCUUUCCAGGACUGAAUCCUCCAAUUCCUUGGGAACAUGCACCACGUCCCCAUUUCCCUCUUGUCCCAGCUUCGUGGCCUUAUGGUUUGCAUCAAAACUUCAUGCAUCAGGGAAAUGCCAGAUUUCAGCCCAACAAACCUUUCUAUACUCAAGACAGAUGUGCCACCCGUCGGUGUAGAGAGCGUUGUCCCCACCCACCAAGAGGAAACGUGUCGGAGUAAUGCGAGUCCAUUUUCUUUCAGCUGGUCUACCGAUGCACAGCACCCAGCCAAUCCUCCUGUCUCAAGGGUAUCCGUACCUCAAUGUCAGUUACAUUCAGCAGAAAAAGUGACAUUUAUUGGAAAGCAAAACAAAUCAGAUAUGCAUUACUUAAAUAGGAGACUACCUGGGCUUUUGCCGUAUUUUCCAACAUGGAAGAUGCUUGAAAUCUAUUGCAGGAGAUUGAGGGCUUUCCUGCCAUGUUUACAGCCCUGAAAAGGCAAUAAAACAGUCAGGCACUCCCGUACUGCAGGAGGCUAAUUGCUUCUAUUACAUGUUUUUAAGACAACCAAUAGCAAAAGGCCCAAAUACUGUACCUGGGGACUUGGAGCGAGAUCUGUGCCGUCUAUCUCGGGACCUGCUGCGGUGACGUCUUGGACUCUUGCUCCGAUGCCUUUCUCGGCGAGGGGAGGGGCUGUGGAAAUAAGUGGUCAGACUCCCAUAUCUGUCUGACAGUAUACUCACAACAGCAACCCUCUCCUCAAAUCCCUGUCCUUUAUCACAAAUCACUGAAGGCUUACCUCCUCCUCUUGGGAGACCGACUCCGUCUAUAUGGAAAGAAGAGAGAAGAGCCUUAGUAAGUGCACUAGAUGUUGCAGAUUGCAAAAACGACCCCAAUUCUUCACCCAUCUCUGUUAUCCACGUCCUUUAUCAUGUAACUUUUUAGUACCCUCCCAAUCCAAGUUGGAUUGGCCAUGUGACUUUCUUUGGCCAUUGGGAUAUUUGCAGAUGUGAUACAAGCAGAUACUGGAGAAAUAAUUGCAUUGGGCUUGUUUGCUCUUGGAUUCUGCCAUUUCCAUGAGAACAUGCCUAACCUAGCCUAGAAUGAGACACAUAGAGAAGGGAUGAGUUGCUCCAGUCAUCCUAGCUAAGGCCACCCUAUACUAGCCAACAGACAGCUGACUGUAAAACAGGUGAGUGAACCUAACUUAUAUUAAAAAAACUGCCUAUCCUACCCCAGCUUAAAUCACUAACCACAGACUUGUGAACUAAACGUUGUUGCCUGCUACUGAGGUUUUGUGGGUGGUUGUUUUGCAGCAACUAAUAGAUUGGGCAAGCAAACAUUCUCCAUAGGCUGGCAUUUUUCCUUCCCUGAAGUCCAGACUUCUGUGUUACAGUGCUAAAGUCUCUGGAAGAGGCCAAGGCCUGACCUUCUGGGAGACCGGCUCCUACUCCUCCUGUAGCGUAAUGUGGGAGAGCGACGGGGCUUGUCCAAGUCUCGGUAGCUUCUCCGGCGAUGAUCAGGUGAUGGCACUCUCUCCAACUGUAAAUGAGAUGGAUGGGUCACUGAUGAGCUCAGGCUAUAUUGCAGAGAGCCAUCUAGGAACACUGCUUACAGUCUCCCCAUCCUGUCCCAAAUUCCACCUCCAAGUGACUUUAUUUAAAAAACAGUAAUUUGAAUAUAUAGAGGGAUAACCCUAAGAAUGGAAAAAAAUUAUCCAAGAAUUAAACUGUUUCUAAUAAUCUCAUUAUUGUUCUAGUGUUGGUACCAUUAUUCUGAGAUUGAGAGAGGAGAGAGAGACAAGCAAGUAAAUAUGCCUACCUCCUUAAGAAGUUGGAUUUCCAAUGUGAAAGAGAUACAGAUGUAAGAUCGAUAAGGUUAAACUACAAAGUCAUAGAGUAGUUUAAUCUUACAGAAAAUUUUCCCCUAGCUCUGCCAACUGUAAAGGCCUAGAAACACCAAACGCCACAGCAAUGAGCUCUUCAGGGGCAGAAGCUAACAAGACAUAACUAGAAUAUAACUCCUAUCAGAAAGCAAGGAGGCUGAGACUACUAUAAGUGUUAUCACAAAGUCUUUCAACUCAAGUCGAGGGGUCCCUAUUGGCCAAAGAUGGGACAAUCUGAGAAUCAACAAGGAUAAUAAUGGUUUGAAACACAUCAAAUAUGCUUAAAUCCAUGAGUUCACAAUGUUACCAAGGACAAAAGAGUAUUCAUCAACUUGGGAAGAUCUAUGGAAUCAACUCAUAUUUUAAAAAUUGAUAACAAAUGGAAAUAAAUAUCUUGCCUUUCCUAUAUAAACUGUACCUAUAAAACACUAAAUAUUGAUUUAGAUUUCUCUUUAGCAGUGUUACAGGUGAGAAAUGAUGAAGAAAUAAUUAGAAUAUCACCAUUUUACAACCUCUAAUGGAUCUAGACAGAGAUCAUCAGUGGCUCCUAAUAUUACAAAAAGAGAGCCAGACUUUGCUCAUCCUGGGGGGAAGUACACACUACUACCUAUGAAGUAGUGUUGCUCCACUCCAAAGGGGAUAAAAACCCCAAAUCUAAUUAAGCCUUGAGAUCUAAGAAGUAGUUUACAGGAAAUACAAGGGACAAAUGAACAUGUUAAGAGAGACCACAGGGACACAAUCAGAAAAACAGAUUGUGAAAAUCUGUAUAGAAUAAUAUAACCUGAUAUAUUUAAAAAUAGAGAAAAAAGAAUGAUGGAGGGAACUGACAGAUUACAGAUACUUAAGAGACAAAAAAGCCAAUUAGAGUUUAUGGACCUUAUUUGAAUACUAAUUUGAAAUAAUAAUAUAGGACAAUUGAGGAAAUGUGAACACUGAAUAUUUGAUGAUAUUAAGGAAUUAUUUUUGGGGAGGUGAUGAUGGUAUCAUGGUUAUAUUUAAAAACAGAGCCUUUAUCUUUCCUGAAAUAUUAUGGAUGAAAUAUAUGAUGGCCAUGAUCUGCUUCCAGAUAAUUGGUGGGGAGCAACUGGGUAGAGAUGUAGAGGAAACAAAAUGGCUAUGAGCUGAUCAUUGUUGAAGCUAGGUGAUGAGUAAAUGGAGGCACACUCUCUCCACUUUGGUAUGUGAUUGAAAUUUUCCAUUUAAAAAAAAGAAUGCCUACUUUUGGUUCACUCACCACAUUAGAGUGCUUCAGUCUUGCACGGCUUUCAAUUCAUGAAUGACUGUGCUUCUUUAUACACCCCCUAGAGGGAGUUUGCUUGACUCAGAGCUACACUUCCAUUUGCAUAGUAUCCAUAAGCCAGCAUUUCUUGUAUUCCCCCAACCUUUUUCUAUACAUAGUUACUUAUUGUUUUAAUCACAAAUAUUUUAGAUCCUUCUUUUUUAACUCACCUUAAGCAUUUCCACACGAUCAGCUACUUUUCUUAACAGUUUUAAUGGCUGCCUACUAGUCUGUUGAGGUGAUAUAAGAGUUUACCUGACUGCUCCAACUCUUGGCUGUUUUCAAUUUUUCAGCAUUAUAACUAAUAGUGAAAGAACAUGACCAUGCAGUAGGCAUUUUUUUUUUUUUAAACUAGGCUUACUUUGUCAGAUAGGUUCAAUUAUGAACUGUAGUAUUUUUGUCCCAAGUAUUUACUUUAACAAAUGUAUGCUAAGGGCUUUAUGUAUGUAUAUCGUCUCAUUUAAUACUUAGAACAGUCCUAAGAGAAAGAUAUCAUUAUCCUUGCUUUACAGAGGAGAAAACUUAGAUGAUGUAAUUUCACAAAAUUAUACCACUAGUAUAUAGCAGAGCUGAGGUAGUAAUCAAGGUCUAUUUAACUCUAAAACCCAUACUCUUAAUGACUAAAUACUGGGUUUUUUUGUUUGUUUUUGCUGAGGAAGAUUCACCCUGAGCUAACAUCUGUGCCAAUCUUCCUCUGUUGUAUCUGGGUCGCCACCACAGCAUGGCCGCAAACAAGUGGUGGUAGGUCUGAGUCUGGGAACUGAACCUGGACCACCAAAGUUGAGUGCACUGAAUUUAACCA